AUUUUUGUAGUUGAAGCACAACGGUGGUUUUUCAAGUCAUUAGUUUAGGUUAAAGCCCUAACAAGAAUU
rnacentral:tRNA from 1 species